rnacentral:rRNA from 1 species
GUGCCAGCCGCCGCGGUAAGACGGACCAUCCAAACGUUAUUCGGAAUUACUGGGCUUAAAGGGUGCGUAGGCGGCGCGGAAAGUUCGGUGUGAAAUCCCUCAGCUUAACUGAGGAAUGGCGCUGAAUACUACCGUGCUCGAGGAAGACAGAGGUAAGCGGAACAGCGGGUGGAGCGGUGAAAUGCGUUGAUAUCCGCUGGAACACCGGUGGCGAAAGCGGCUUACUGGGUCUUUUCUGACGCUGAGGCACGAAAGCUAGGGUAGCGAACGGGAUUAGAAACCCCCGUAGUCC